rnacentral:rRNA from 1 species
UACGGGGGGGCAAGCGUUGUUCGGAAUUACUGGGCGUAAAGGCGUGUAGGCGGCCAACUAAGUCCGACGUGAAAUCCCCAGGCUUAACCUGGAACUGCGUCGGAUACUGGAUGGCUUGAAUCCGGGAGAGGGAUGCAGAAUUCCAGGUGUAGCGGUGAAAUGCGUAGAUAUCUGGAGGAAUACCGGUGGCGAAGGCGGCAUCCUGGACCGGCAUUGACGCUGAAGCGCGAAAGCUA